AUACGGAGGGUGCAAGCGUUAUCCGGAAUCAUUGUGUUUAAAGGGUCCGCAGGCGGAUUAAUAAGUCAGUGGUGAAAUCCUCUCGCUCAACGAGAGAACUGCCAUUGAAACUGUUAGUCUUGAAUUCGGUCGAAGUAGGCGGAAUGUGUCAUGUAGCGGUGAAAUGCAUAGCUAUGACACAGAACACCGAUAGCGAAGGCAGCUUACUAGACCUGGAUUGACGCUCAUGGACGAAAGCGUGGGGAGCGAACAGGAUUAGAAACCCCGGUAGUCC
rnacentral:rRNA from 1 species